UGUGCCGGACCACACGUGUGGCCUAAUCUCAUCCGUAUCAAACUGGAAGUCUCGUGGCGUUUAAAAUUAUAUUUGUAGAACCAUGGUUUGGAAGGAAUGGUUGGUUGUACCCUUCGGUAAUAUUUCGCUUUAACGCCAUUAUACCACUGUGCACUCCAAGCAUUAUUCAAAUAAGUUUUAGGGAGGCUAACUAAAUCAUGACUAUAAUUUUUGAAACAAUAAAUAUCACCACAAUUGAUAGCCUCGUUUGCAAUUCUAUCAACUAUUUCAUUUCCUUUAAUUCCGCAAUGGCUAGGUAUCCAUACAAAUGAGACUGUAAGAUUUUGAUCCAUACAUUUCAUUAACAGGUUUCUGCAGUCUAAGAGAAUAGGGUAAAUCGGUUGAGAUUUAAGAGGAAAUUUUGCAAGAGCCUGUAAAGCACUCUUUGAAUCGGGAUUUGAAAACGAACUUAUCAGAUAAAUAUUGACGUCUCAAAUGAAGAGGAGGAUCAACACAUUCUACCUGUAAUGCUGUAACAGGACUAGAUUUCAUGGCUCCAGUGAUAAUUCUGAGUGAUUUAGACUGUAUAGAGUCUAGUUUUUUGAAAGCAUUCACAUCCCCUGGUUGAAGUAAAAAAGUACCAUAAUCUAAAACUGAUCUUACUAUGGCAUUAUAUAAAAGUUUUAAAUUGAAUGGGUGGGCACCCCACCAUACACCGGCAAGAGAACAUGAGAGAGCUAUGGGUCUGUACGACAAUACAUCCGAUGAAGAUUUACCAGGCUUGAGAAUGGGUAAAAUAAUUUGUUUUUUCCAUGACUCUGGGAUAACACAUGUAAUGAACAUAGAAUUUAUAAGGUUGAGGUAAUAUGUGAGACAAGAAUCACUCAAAUGGGCAAAGAAAGAAUAAGGAAUCUUAUCAUCACCUGGAGCAGAGUCCUUAAGAUUCGAGAUGACCCCCUUCAGUUCAUUAAAUGAAAAAGGUAAAUCAAAAUCUGAAACUGGAUCUGAACAUGAGAAAGGAAGGACAAACGGGAUAAGAGCUAAACAUUCUUCUGGAACAUAAGGGGGAGCUAAUUUAUCAAGAAACUUGUCAGCCAGAUCAUAAGGCAAGUCUUUGACUGUAUUUUCUUUAUAUGCAGAUCUAAAUCUUCUUAUUUGGUUCCAUACUUCAGAAGGUGAGAUAUUAGGACAAAUCGAAGCACAAAAUUUUUUAAAACCUUCUCGUUUCUUUUUUAAUAAAAGAUUCCGAGUA